CCCGAGAGAAGUAUACAAACACAUCCUCAAAGACCACACAGCCCUGCAAAGAAAGGGACAGCAAGAACCAUAAAAAGUCUCUUGACCAGGCCCAAUAAAACUUCUGAAUAGAUGUUUCUCAAGACAUACAAAUGUCUAACGAUAUAUGAGAAAAGCGCUCAAUGUCUUCAAACAUCAGAGAAAUGCAAAUUAAAACAAUGAGAUAUUACCUCAUACCUGUAAAAUUGCCUAUCAUCAAAAAGAUAAAAGAUAACCAGCCUUGUCAAACAUGUGGAGAAAAGAGACUCUCAUGUUGUUGGUAGUGUGAAUAAAUGCAGCAAUUAUGGAAAAAUGUAUGGAGGUUCUUCAAAAAA